AUUGAACGCUGGCGGCAGGCCUAACACAUGCAAGUCGAACGAGUGGCGGACGGGUGAGUAAUGUAUGGGAAUCUGCCUGAUGGAGGGGGAUAACUACUGGAAACGGUAGCUAAUACCGCAUACCAUCAGAUGUACCCAUAUGGGAUUAGCUGGUUGGUGGGGUAACGGCUUACCAAGGCGACGAUCCCUAGCUGGUCUGCGAGGAUGAACAGCCACACUGGAACUGAGACACGGCCCAGACUCCUACGGGAGGCAGCAGGGGGGAAUAUUGCACAAUGGGCGCAAGCCUGAUGCAGCCAUGCCGCGUGUAUGAAGAAGGCCUGCGGGUUGUAAAGUACUUUCAGCGGGGAGGCGUUACCCGAAGAAGAAGCACCGGCUAACUCCGUGCCAGCAGCCGCGGUAAUAC
rnacentral:rRNA from 1 species